rnacentral:misc_RNA from 1 species
AAAUCGCGAUAUGUAAUGUGAUCUGCCUUUAGUGAAUCAUCAAAUCUUUGAACGCAUCUUGCACCUUUUGGUAUUCCAAAAGGUACGCCUGUUUCAGUAUCAUUAUCAUCUCUCCCCAAAAUUCAUUUUUUUGUUGAGAGACAGAUUACAAACUGGCCCUGCUUAAUUGUCUCGGCUAAAAUACUCUAGUUCAUAUGUUGGUUCUCGUCCAACUCUUUGAUAGAUCGAUUUUUUUGACUAUUCUAAGAGAGCGAAUUUGACAUUGGCUAAAAACUUUUAUCAUUUGAUCUGAAAUCAGGUGGGAUUACCCGCUGAACUUAA